rnacentral:rRNA from 1 species
CCUACGGGUGGCAGCAGUGAGGAAUAUUGGUCAAUGGGCGAGAGCCUGAACCAGCCAAGUCGCGUGAGGGAAGACGGUCCUACGGAUUGUAAACCUCUUUUGUCAGGGAGCAAGGAGCGCCACGAGUGGUGCGGCGAGAGUACCUGAAGAAAAAGCAUCGGCUAACUCCGUGCCAGCAGCCGCGGUAAUACGGAGGAUGCGAGCGUUAACCGGAUUUAUUGGGCUUAAAGGGUGCGCAGGCGGAAGAGGCAAGUCAGCGGUAAAAUUGCGGGGCUAAACCUCGCCGAGCCGUUGAUACUGGUCAUCUAGAGUGGGCGAGAAGUAUGUGGAAUGCGUGGUGUAGCGGUGAAAUGCAUAGAUAUGACGCAGAACUCCGAUUGCGAAGGCAGCAUACCGGCGAAAAACUGACGCUCAUGCACGAAAGCGUGGGUAUCGAACAGGAUUAGAUACCCGUGUAGUC